ACGCACGCUGGCGGCGUGCUUCACCCAUGCAAGUCGAACGGAAAGGCCCUGCUUUUGUGGGGUGCUCGCGUGGCGAACGGGUGAGUAACACGUGAGUAACCUGCCCUUGACUUUGGGAUAACUUCAGGAAACUGGGGCUAAUACCGGAUAGGAGCUCCUGCUGCAUGGUGGGGGUUGGAAAGUUUCGGCGGUUGGGGAUGGACUCGCGGCUUAUCAGCUUGUUGGUGGGGUAGUGGCUUACCAAGGCUUUGACGGGUAGCCGGCCUGAGAGGGUGACCGGCCACAUUGGGACUGAGAUACGGCCCAGACUCCUACGGGAGGCAGCAGUGGGGAAUAUUGCACAAUGGGCGGAAGCCUGAUGCAGCAACGCCGCGUGCGGGAUGACGGCCUUCGGGUUGUAAACCGCUUUCGCCUGUGACGAAGCGUGAGUGACGGUAAUGGGUAAAGAAGCACCGGCUAACUACGUG
rnacentral:rRNA from 1 species